GUGCAGCAGGCGCGAAGCCUCCACAAUUCACGCAAGUGAGAUGGGGUUACCUCGAGUGCCGUCUGAAGAAGGCGGCUUUUCCAUGGUGUAAUAAGCCAUGGGAAUAAGGGGGGGGCAAGACUGGUGUCAGCCGCCGCGGUAACACCAGCCCCCCGAGUGGUGGGGAUGAUUAUUUGGCCUAAAGCGUCCGUAGCCGGCUUUGUAAAUCUCUCGUUAAAUCCAGCGUCCUAAGCGUUGGGCUGCGAGAGACACUGCAGAGCUAGAGGGUGGGAGAGGUCAGCGGUAUUCCUGGGGUAGGGGCGAAAUCCAUUGAUCCCAGGAGGACCACCAGUGGCGAAGGCUGCUGUCCAGAACACGCCUGACGGUCAGGGACGAAAGCUGGGGUAGCGAAUCGGAUUAGAUACCCCCGUAGUCC
rnacentral:rRNA from 1 species